UACGGAGGGGCUAGCGUUAUUCGGAAUUACUGGGCGUAAAGCGUGCGCAGGCGGUCUGCUAAGAGAGGUGUGAAAUCCCCGGGCUUAACCUGGGAACUGCGCUUCUAACUGGCAGGCUUGAGUGUGGCAGAGGGGGGUGGAAUUCCACGUGUAGCAGUGAAAUGCGUAGAGAUGUGGAGGAACACCGAUGGCGAAGGCAGCCCCCUGGGCUAACACUGACGCUCGAUGCACGAAAGGCGUGGGGGAGCAAACAGG
rnacentral:rRNA from 1 species